UAAGUGUGCAGGUAGGAAUAUGCUGCGUACACGUAGAAUCAAAUUAACGUUUAAGCGACUUGUAAAGUCGUUGACUAUGUGGAGUCGCCCUUAUGGGCGAUUUUUUAAUUUAG
ncrna:unclassified sequences DTF3800-I RNA